GGGAAAAGCUCAACUUUAAAAUCUGGCCCUUUCAGGGUCCGAGUUGUAGUCUCGAGAAGCAGCGUCCGCGCCGGACCUUGGACAAGUCGGUUGGAAAACCGCGUCAGAGAGGGUGACAAUCCCGUUGAUGCCAAGGACGCCCGUGUGCAUUGUGGCCUGCUUUCCAAGAGUCGAGUUGUUUGGGAAUGCAGCUCAAAUUGGGAGGUAGAUUCCUUCUAAAGCUAAAUAUUGGCGAGAGACCGAUAGCGAACAAGUACCGUGAGGGAAAGAUGAAAAGCACUUUGGAAAGAGAAUGAAACAGUAUGUGAAAUUGCUGAAAGGGAAACGAUUGAGCAUGAUGUUCGCUGGGGUAUUCAGGCCUCACGGCUGUAUUUACCUCUGUGCGAGCCAGCAUCGGUUUGAUCUCCAGUAAAAGGGUGCGGGGAACGUAGCUGCCCCGGCAGUGUUAUAGACCCGCACUGGAUGCUGGGGCGCAGACCGAGGAACGCAGGGCGCCGCAAGGCAGUACCCCCGUGGUACCGAGCCCUUAGGAUGCUGGUUUGAGUGCUUAACCGACCCGUCUU
rnacentral:rRNA from 1 species